ACGGGUGAGUAAUGCCUAGGAAUCUGCCUGGUAGUGGGGGACAACGUCUCGAAAGGGACGCUAAUACCGCAUACGUCCUACGGGAGAAAGCAGGGGACCUUCGGGCCUUGCGCUAUCAGAUGAGCCUAGGUCGGAUUAGCUAGUUGGUGAGGUAAUGGCUCACCAAGGCGACGACCCGUAACUGGUCUGAGAGGAUGAUCAGUCACACUGGAACUGAGACACGGUCCAGACUCCUACGGGAGGCAGCAGUGGGGAAUAUUGGACAAUGGGCGAAAGCCUGAUCCAGCCAUGCCGCGUGUGUGAAGAAGGUCUUCGGAUUGUAAAGCACUUUAAGUUGGGAGGAAGGGCAGUAAGCGAAUACCUUGCUGUUUUGACGUUACCGACAGAAUAAGCACCGGCUAACUCUGUGCCAGCAGCCGCGGUAAUACAGAGGGUGCAAGCGUUAAUCGGAAUUACUGGGCGUAAAGCGCGCGUAGGUGGUUUGUUAAGUUGAAUGUGAAACCCCCGGGCUCAACCUGGGAACUGCAUCCAAAACUGGCAAGCUAGAGUAGGGCAGAGGGUGGUGGAAUUUCCUGUGUAGCGGU
rnacentral:rRNA from 1 species